rnacentral:piRNA from 1 species
UUGAACGAAAUGUGCUCCUUGUGUUUGCGU